rnacentral:lncRNA from 1 species
GGAGGUGUUAAGGGACAGCUUCGCUUAAUCUUUCUUUCUCUUCUUCCUAAGCCAUGUGAAGACCUUGCCUGAUUCCCCUUUGCCCUCCACCAUGAUUGUAAGUUUCCUGAAGCCUCCUCCUCAGACGAAGCCUACACAGCCUGCAGAACUGUGAAGUGAUUAAACCUCUUUUCUUUAUAAGUUACCCAGCCUCAGGCAUGAAAAUGCACCUCACAGACAGAGCACCCAGCUGCUGUGCUUUGAAGUCAGCCACACCUCCCAUUCAUUGCUGUUACCAAUGGACUGACUGAAUGCUGUGGCGAUACUGAGGCCGUCUUAGUCCCGGAAGACAGACUGUAAAAAGAAGAUGUUUACUGGAAGCUUGUAGUAAAGUUAGAGUAGCUCUGUUCCAAUGUUUGACCAUUCAGAGAGGAGUCAUACCCUUCUUCACUUCACAAGAGAUUUUCCUUGUGAAAACCUUGGUGGUGAAGGGCAGGAGAAUAUGCUACCCCCAGAAUUCGACUUUGGCAUAAGGAUUAUCUUGAGCUGAAGGGAAUUGAGAAGAAGCACAAACAAGAAAAGCUGUCUGCCCUCUCCCUAUUUGCCUAAAAUCAGGAAAUAAAUAUACAAAGAUGUACCUCUUUACCUCUCUACCAGGAAUGACAAAGUUUGAUCAGUGGAGAUGACUUUAGACCCUUAUCAGCCUGGAGAUGGCACAAGAGAAAUCUAUACAGCAAACUUUACCAACUGUUCUACCUACUAUUGGUUUCCCAUAUAAUUGCUUUUCCACAAUAUGCCACAUCUAGACACUCAAAGUCCUUUUCCUUUUUCUUGUCACUUCUCUGAAAUUGUAUUGUACUUUGUUGAAGAUGCUAUAUAAGCUGAAGUUCUAAGCCAUCUUUUUGAGAGUUACUCUUUCCUUUAGUUCUCUCUCAUGUAUAUAUGAAAUAUACAUGUUAGUGAACUUGUUUGUUUUUCUCUUGUUAAUCUGUCUUUUGUUGCAGGAGGUCCAGCUAAGGACUCUGAAGAGUAAAGGAGAAAUUGUUUUCUCCUCUCCUACAGUGGAUUUUGUCUUUUUAGUGCAGAAAGUUGCAUUAAAGAUGGCAACAACAGUCACUCAAGAUGGUUUCUAUCCACAGAUAAUUUCAUUGAUUGGAGCAAAGUUUUUCCAAGGAUCAUUGUUAUGAGCUGAACUAUGUUCCCCUCAAAUUUAUACGUGGAAAUCCUAACCCCUAGUACUUCAAAAUGUGACUAUAUUUGGAGACAAGCUUUUCAAAGAGAGAAUUAAGGCAAAGUAAGGUCAUCAGAAUGGACUCUAAUCUCACAUAACUGGUGUCCUUAUAAGAAGAGGAGAUUAAGACACAGAUAUACAUAGAAGAAGACCAUGUAAAGACAUGGGAAGAAGAUAGUCAUUUACAAGCCAAGAGGAAGAGCCUUCAGAAGGAACCCUGUCAACACCUCUGUCUUAGACUUGUAGUCUCCAGAACUGUGAGGAAAUAAAUUUCUGUUGCUUAAGCCACCCAGUUUGUAGUACUUAGGUAUGGCAGCCCUCGCUAGCAAGCUUACAUCAAAAUGACACAUGAGGCUUGUGAAAAAUGACAGAUCUAUGCAUGAUUGAAAAAAGAAAGGAAAAUAUUAAAGAAUCUGUCUCUACUUCUAGUUUCUUCUGAGAAAAGUUAGGAUACAAUUUCUGUCAAAGGAUGGUACUGACCUUGUGUAAUUUUCAUUCUUCAGGAACUAUAAUCACAUUACCAUGUCAGCAAACCACACAGAUUUUUAUUUUGUCUAAAAAAGCAUGAUUUCCACUCUUUGGAAUAAUACUGUUAACUAUACACGAAGAUAAAUAUAAAAGACAGCGCCACAUUGACUGUGGAUUCUGAAAUUCCCUUUAUUACAUUUAUUCUUGGAUUCUCAGACCAAACCCUGGGACUCAGACCAAAGAAAUUUUGGUUUAAUAUGAAGAUUUCUUAAAGCUCUGACCUGACAGUCUUAUAAUUAUAUUUUCUUCUUGUGUAUAUCCCUAGAUAUACAAACAGAACAUCUUAAAACUGCCUGAUCCAACAAAUAUUAUUAGUUGAUUAUUCAAGGCAUGAUGAUUCCAUUAUUUUUGGAUCUUUUUUAUGGCAUGCUAAUGUUCUCUAUAUCUCUUCUUCAUGGCUUCUGUUGUUUCCUCUUUUCUUUUCCCACCUCUCCUUCUGUCUCCUAUUUUUUUUCUCCUUGUCCCCUUGUAUAUGUACAAUUUCUAUAAUCCAACUCAUAAAUCCUUGUGCUAAUUCCACUCUCAGUAACUAUUAAGAUGGAAUUCCACACGUGUCACAACAAAUAUCCACAUGUGACAAGCAAUUAGUGAUACUACUCUCUGAAUGCUUUUUGUUUUAGAAGUGUAAAUUUACAUAAAAAAUAAAGCAAAAAAAACCCAAAAAACAAAAAACAAAUGUUUGCUUAUAAAGCGUGUAGUAUUUUUUGCAUGAUAUUAAUUUUACAACCACCCAGUGGGAGAAGAGGAAAGAGAGUUCACCUUAAGCGUUUUCAGAGGGUUUUGUAAUGUUGUUAUAAAUUUCUCUAAACAAAGUUA